rnacentral:rRNA from 1 species
AACGACUCUCGGCAACGGAUAUCUCGGCUCUCGCAUCGAUGAAGAACGUAGCGAAAUGCGAUACUUGGUGUGAAUUGCAGAAUCCCGUGAACCAUCGAGUCUUUGAACGCAAGUUGCGCCCGAAGCCAUCWGGCCGAGGGCACGUCUGGCUGGGUGUCACACAACG